AGUGAACGCUGGCGAUAGGCCUAACACAUGCAAGUCGAACGGCAGCACAGUAAGAGCUUGCUCUUACGGGUGGCGAGUGGCGGACGGGUGAGGAAUACAUCGGAAUCUACUUUUUCGUGGGGGAUAACGUAGGGAAACUUACGCUAAUACCGCAUACGACCUACGGGUGAAAGCAGGGGAUCUUCGGACCUUGCGCGAUUGAAUGAGCCGAUGUCGGAUUAGCUAGUUGGCGGGGUAAAGGCCCACCAAGGCGACGAUCCGUAGCUGGUCUGAGAGGAUGAUCAGCCACACUGGAACUGAGACACGGUCCAGACUCCUACGGGAGGCAGCAGUGGGGAAUAUUGGACAAUGGGCGCAAGCCUGAUCCAGCCAUGCCGCGUGGGUGAAGAAGGCCUUCGGGUUGUAAAGCCCUUUUGUUGGGAAAGAAAAGCAGCAGGUUAAUACCCCGCUGUUCUGACGGUACCCAAAGAAUAAGCACCGGCUAACUUCGUG
rnacentral:rRNA from 1 species